GACGAACGCUGGCGGCGUGCUUAACACAUGCAAGUCGAACGGAAAGGCCCUGCUCUUGUUGGGUGCUCGAGUGGCGAACGGGUGAGUAACACGUGAGUAACCUGCCCUUGACUUUGGGAUAACUUCAGGAAACUGGGGCUAAUACCGGAUAGGAGCUCCUGCUGCAUGGUGGGGGUUGGAAAGGUUCGGCGGUUGGGGAUGGACUCGCGGCUUAUCAGCUUGUUGGUGAGGUAGUGGCUUACCAAGGCUUUGACGGGUAGCCGGCCUGAGAGGGUGACCGGCCACAUUGGGACUGAGAUACGGCCCAGACUCCUACGGGCGGCAGCAGUGGGGAAUAUUGCACAAUGGGCGGAAGCCUGAUGCAGCAGCGCCGCGUGCGGGAUGACGGCCUUCGGGUUGUAAACCGCUUUCGCAUGUGACGAAGCGUGAGUGACGGUAAUGGGUAAAGAAGCACCGGCUAACUACGUG
rnacentral:rRNA from 1 species